rnacentral:misc_RNA from 1 species
GGGGAUUGUUGUGGUGGUGGUUGGCUUUACUGUCAAGUCAACAUAACCCAAAUAAGACAAUUUACUAGUACGAAGUCGUGGAUAUUUGGCAGCCACCACACUGAACCCCAAAUAUUACUGAACACUCAAGCAACCUUCAUGCACCCAAAGAACUUUUAACUUGGCAGACUCUAGUGAAAUCUCAAAAGAGUGCAUUCAGCCAGUAGAACUCUCAAACUCAAUUACACCAAUUCUUUGAUGCAAUAAAUAGAGGAUACCAACACAUAGCCAAG